GUGGGAUGCUAGCGGUUCGGUCUGGUUCUAUGGAAGCAGUAGCUCUGAAGAGCAGCAGACACCAAACCGGUUGGUGGGAGGUGGUUUUGG